rnacentral:rRNA from 1 species
GAUAACCGUAGUAAUUCUAGAGCUAAUACAUGUAUAAAGUCUUGUAGACUGCAUUUAUUAGAAUGAAAACCAUAGGUUUCGGCCUAUUCGUGAGUAAUAAUAACUAAUCAUAUCGUAUGCUUAUGUAACGAUGUGUCUUUCAAGUUUCUGCCCUAUCAGCUUUCGAUGGUAGUGUAUUGGACUACCAUGGCAGUAACGGGUAACGAAGA